rnacentral:rRNA from 1 species
CCUACGGGUGGCAGCAGUGGGGGAUAUUGCACAAUGGGGGAAACCCUGAUGCAGCGACGCCGCGUGAGUGAAGAAGUAUUUCGGUAUGUAAAGCUCUAUCAGCAGGGAAGCAAAUGACAGUACCUGACCCAGAAGCCCCGGCUAACUACGUGCCAGCAGCCGCGGUAAUACGUAAGGGGCAAGCGUUAUACGGAUUUACUGGGUGUAAAGGGAGCGUAGACGGUUAUGUAAGUCUGGAGUGAAAGCCCGGGGCCCAACCCCGGGACUGCUGUGGACACUGUGUAACUGGAGUACAGGAGAGGUAGGCGGAAUGCGUGGUGUAGCGGUGAAAUGCGUAGAUAUCAGGAGGAACACCGACGGCGAAGGCGGCCUGCUGGACUGAAACUGACGUUGAGGCUCGAAAGCGUGGGGAGCGAACAGGAUUAGAUGCCCCAGUAGUC